AAACGCUUGAAGUCAGUCGUGUCUUUCAGGGAUCAAGUUGCCCUUUGGGUGACCGCACUUCCUGUUGGAUGGGUCAGCAUCAAUUUUGACCGUUGGAUAAAGGCCUAGGUAAUGUGGCAUCUUCGGAUGUGUUAUAGACCUGGGUUGGAUACAACGAUUGGGAUUGAGGAACUCGGUGUGCCUUCGUGGUUGCACUCAGGAUGCUGGCAUAAUGGCUUUAAUCGA
rnacentral:rRNA from 1 species